rnacentral:rRNA from 1 species
UACGUAGGGCGCAAGCGUUAUCCGGAAUUAUUGGGCGUAAAGAGCUCGUAGGCGGUUUGUCGCGUCUGCCGUGAAAGUCCGGGGCUCAACUCCGGAUCUGCGGUGGGUACGGGCAGACUAGAGUGAUGUAGGGGAGACUGGAAUUCCUGGUGUAGCGGUGAAAUGCGCAGAUAUCAGGAGGAACACCGAUGGCGAAGGCAGGUCUCUGGGCAUUAACUGACGCUGAGGAGCGAAAGCGUGGGGAUCAAACAGG